rnacentral:misc_RNA from 1 species
UUUGGACACAAUUAGAGAGAAAAGUGGUGGUGAUCCUACUCUGGAAGCUGCAAAACUGAAAGAAUUUGCAAAUGAACAGCUGAGGUUAGCUAUGGCUGAAAAGGCNNNNNNNNNNNNAGGCUAGACAACAAGCCAAAAGGCAACUCGACAUGGCUGAAUUAGAAUUCGCAAAUGCAAAGAGGAUAAGGCAACAAGCUCAAGCUGAACUUGAAAAGGCUCAAGUAUUAAGAGAACAAGCUACAAAGAAGAUCAGUUCUACAAUCAUGCAAAUCACUUGCCA